rnacentral:rRNA from 1 species
UACGUAGGGGGCAAGCGUUAUCCGGAUUUACUGGGUGUAAAGGGAGCGUAGACGGCUUUGCAAGCCAGAUGUGAAAGCCCGGGGCUCAACCACGGGACUGCAUUUGGAACUGUGUGGCUAGAGUGUCGGAGAGGCAGGCGGAAUUCCUAGUGUAGCGGUGAAAUGCGUAGAUAUUAGGAGGAACACCAGUGGCGAAGGCGGCCUGCUGGACGAUGACUGGCGUUGAGGCUCGAAAGCGUGGGGAGCAAACAGG